GACGAACGCUGGCGGCGUGCUUAAUACAUGCAAGUCGAACGAGGUCCAACCGAUCUUCGGAUUGGUGAAGACUUAGUGGCGAACGGGUGCGUAACACGUGAGAAACCUGCCCCGGUCUCUGGAAUAACAGUUGGAAACGACUGCUAAUACCGGAUGCCGUCGGACCAUCGCAUGGUGGACCGACGAAAGGGUUACCGGACUGGGAGGGUCUCGCGGCCUAUCAGCUUGUUGGUGAGGUAACGGCUCACCAAGGCAUCGACGGGUAGCUGGUCUGAGAGGAUGGUCAGCCACACUGGGACUGAGACACGGCCCAGACUCCUACGGGAGGCAGCAGUAGGGAAUAUUGCACAAUGGGCGAAAGCCUGAUGCAGCAACGCCGCGUGCGGGAAGAAGGCCCUAGGGUUGUAAACCGCUUUCAGCAGGGAAGAAAAUGACGGUACCUGCAGAAGAAGGUGCGGCCAACUACG
rnacentral:rRNA from 1 species